rnacentral:lncRNA from 1 species
UGGGGGGGAAGGGCUGUGGAGCCCCGCGCCUGUUCCCAGGCUGUUUCCGUCCCCCUGUGUCCUCACCACGUAGCGAAAAUGAAACCGCGAGAGAUGAAGUUCAACUCAACUGCUAAGUAGCUGAGUCAGAAUUUGACCCCAAGCCAGAUGAUCUUUGUUAUGGGGUAUAUGGAGAAAAAUAACACCGAAAGGCCUGAAUGCGUCAAAUUGUGGGCCAGUACAAUCUUGUUUCCGGCACUGUUGCUGUUCUGGGGCCUGAAGCAUGUAGGGACAAGGUGCAGCUAGGGGCUUGAGAACCACCAACCUUGAGACAUGCAUUCUGCUUGUUUGUUUGUUUGUUUGUUUGUUUAGGGGUUUUGUUCGAGACAUGCUCUCAACUCAGCUGUCCAAGAGCCCACUAUACAGAGGAUGACCUUGGCUGUCUGAUUCUUCGGCUUCUGCCUCAUGCUGGGGUUGCAGGCUUGUGUUUUAGAGUUCUUCUUAGAGAUGGAAUUAUGUGGGAGAACUGUGCUUGGUGCCGGACAUGGCAAUGUCUCCACGAAAUGAGAUUCUCUUCUCAAUUGCUACAUUCUAGUUGGACAGAGAACAAGUAGCUCCACUGCAUUUCCUCUUGAGGAAGUACGUGGUAAGCUCAGAACUACCGUCCUGCAGAAGAUGCACACCAGCCUAGGAGUCUGUCCCACAGAACAGAGGGAACCAGGUCUCUAGGUAAACUGGGAAGGGAGGGUAUGCUGAAGAUACAGAGGCAGAAGGAUUACAUGAGUGAGGCCAGCCUGGUCUACACCGGGGCUGACAAGAUGGCUCAACAGGAAAAAGCGCUUGCCACGUAAGCCCGACAAGCUGAUGUCUACACCUGAAUUCUACACCUGAGCCCAUGGUGGAAAGGAGUCGACCAACUCCCUCAAGUCGUUGUGACGUGACUGAGACCUGAGUCACAAGCCUGGAAGCAGCAGAGCUGGAACGUCAAGCC